rnacentral:lncRNA from 1 species
UGAUGUGUGCGCGAGAGAGCUUUCUCUCUGCUUUGGCUUGGAGCUUGAUGGCCUCGUACACUUUGCCAUUAGUUUAAUUAAAAGUGGGGGACAUGAGAUUAGAGAAGAAAAAAAAGGAGGACGCACGGAUGGAUGCGUGUCUAAAUAAGCAUGAUAGGGGACUUUUUCUUUUCUUUUUUCUCUCGCUCGUACCAAAAGAUUCAAAGAUGGAAUGG